GACGAACGCUGGCGGCGCGCCUAACACAUGCAAGUCGAACGGAGAUGGGAAAGCUUGCUUUUCCAUUUUAGUGGCGGACGGGUGAGUAACACGUGAGCAACCUGCCUUUCAGAGGGGGAUAACGUUUGGAAACGAACGCUAAUACCGCAUAACAUAUUCUUGUGGCAUCACAGGGAUAUCAAAGGAGCAAUCCGCUGAGAGAUGGGCUCGCGGCCGAUUAGAUAGUUGGCGGGGUAAGGGCCCACCAAGUCGACGAUCGGUAGCCGGACUGAGAGGUUGAACGGCCACAUUGGGACUGAGACACGGCCCAG
rnacentral:rRNA from 1 species